UCAAGUAAUUAAGUGCUAAAGGCGGAUGCCUUGGCAUCUAGAGGCGAUGAAGGACGUUGUAACUUGCGAUAAGCCCCGGCGAGCCAGUACACAGGCUAUGACCCGAGGAUUUCCGAAUGGGGAAACCCGACAUUUAUGUCACCACUUUUGUGGAGCAAACCCGGAGAACUGAAACAUCUUAGUACCCGGAGGAAAAGAAAUCAAACGAGAUUCCGUUAGUAGUGGCGAGCGAAAGCGGAACAGCCCUUAAGCUAUAUAUUGUCUAGUAGAAUGUUAUGGAAAGAACAGCCACAGUAGGUGAUAGCCCUGUAUACGAAAGACUUUAUAUAGUGAAAUCGAGUAGGUCGGAACACGUGAAAUUUUGACUGAACAUGGGAGGACCAUCUUCCAAGGCUAAAUACUCCUAGAUGACCGAUAGUGAACAAGUACCGUGAGGGAAAGGUGAAAAGUCCCCCUGUUAGGGGAGUGAAAUAGUACCUGAAACCUUUAGCAUACAAUCAGUCAGAGCCCUUCGGGGUGAUGGCGUACCUUUUGUAUAAUGGGUCAGCGACUUAAUUUCAGUAGCAAGCUUAACGUUUAGGUAGGCGUAGGGAAACCGAGUCUUAAAUGGGCGAAUUAGUUGCUGGAAUUAGACCCGAAACCAAGCGAUCUAUCCAUGGUCAGGUUGAAGUGUGAGUAACAUCACAUGGAGGACCGAACCCACUUAUGUUGAAAAAUGAGGGGAUGAACUGUGGAUAGGGGUGAAAGGCCAAUCAAGCUUGGAGAUAGCUGGUUCUCUCCGAAAACUAUUUAGGUAGUGCCUCUCGUAUUACCAAUGGGGGUAGAGCACUGUUUCGGCUAGGGGGUCAUCCCGACUUACCAAACCGAUGCAAACUCCGAAUACCAUUGAGUAUUAGCGAGGGAGACAGACUGCGGGUGAUAACGUCCGUGGUCGAAAGGGAAACAACCCAGACCAACAGCUAAGGUCCCAAAUUAUGAUUAAGUGGAAAACGAUGUGAAUAGACUUAUACAGCUAGGAGGUUGGCUUAGAAGCAGCCAUCCUUUAAAGAAAGCGUAAUAGCUCACUAGUCUAGUUUGUCUGCGCGGAAGAUUUACCGGGGCUAAAUCAUAAACCGAAGCUUUGGAUCAUCUUCGGAUGAUGGUAGGAGAGCGUUCUGUAAGCCUGUGAAGGUGAACCGAGAGGUUUGCUGGAGGUAUCAGAAGUGCGAAUGCUGACAUGAGUAACGAAUAAGGAGGUGAAAAACCUCCUCGCCGGAAGACUAAGGAUUCCUGUCCAACGCUUUUCGUGGCAGGGUUAGUCGGCCCCUAAGGCGUACCCGAAAGGGGAAGUCGAUGGGAAACAGGUUAAUAUUCCUGUACCAGUUGGAAGUGACGGAUCUAGUAAAUUGUAUACACUGAUUGGAUUGUGUAUGCCGUGAAUAGGUUCCAAGAAAUAGCUCCAACAUAGACCGUACCAUAAACCGACACAGGUGGUCAGGUAGAGAAUACCAAGGCGGAUGAGAUAACUCUGGUGAAGGAACUAGGCAAAAUGUAACCGUAACUUCGGGAGAAGGUUAGCCAACUUUAAGGCAACUUUUAGUUGGUCGAAGAUACCAGGUGGCUGCGACUGUUUACUAAAAACACAGCACUCUGCUAACACGAAAGUGGACGUAUAGGGUGUGACGCCUGCCCGGUGCCGGAAGGUUAAAUGAUGGGGUUAGCUUCGGCGAAGCUCUUGACUGAAGCCCCGGUAAACGGCGGCCGUAACUAUAACGGUCCUAAGGUAGCGAAAUUCCUUGUCGGGUAAGUUCCGACCUGCACGAAUGGCGUAACGAUGGCCACACUGUCUCCACCAGAGGCUCAGUGAAAUUGAAAUAGCUGUUAAGAUGCAGUUUACCCGCAGCUAGACGGAAAGACCCCGUGCACCUUUACUACAGGUUCACACUGAAAUUUGGUUUUAUAUGUGUAGGAUAGGUGGGAGACUUUGAAGCUUGGACGC
rnacentral:rRNA from 1 species